rnacentral:rRNA from 1 species
AGAGUUUGAUCCUGGCUCAGGAUGAACGCUAGCGACAGGCUUAACACAUGCAAGUCGAGGGGCAGCGGGGAUGUAGCAAUACAUCUGCCGGCGACCGGCGCACGGGUGAGUAACGCGUAUGCAACCUGCCCUUCACUGGGGGAUAACCGGGAGAAAUUCCGACUAAUACCGCAUAUGAUGUCUGAACGAAUGUUCGGGUUUUGAAAGAUUUAUCGGUGAAGGAUGGGCAUGCGUGAUAUUAGGUAGUUGGCGGGGUAACGGCCCACCAAGCCGACGAUAUCUAGGGGUUCUGAGAGGAAGGUCCCCCACACUGGUACUGAGACACGGACCAGACUCCUACGGGAGGCAGCAGUGAGGAAUAUUGGUCAAUGGACGCAAGUCUGAACCAGCCAUGCCGCGUGCAGGAUGACGGCUCUAUGAGUUGUAAACUGCUUUUGUACGAGGGUAAACGCAGAUACGUGUAUCUGUCUGAAAGUAUCGUACGAAUAAGGAUCGGCUAACUCCGUGCCAGCAGCCGCGGUAAUACGGAGGAUUCAAGCGUUAUCCGGAUUUAUUGGGUUUAAAGGGUGCGUAGGCGGUUUGAUAAGUUAGAGGUGAAAUUUCGGGGCUCAACCCUGAACGUGCCUCUAAUACUGUUGAGCUAGAGAGUAGUUGCGGUAGGCGGAAUGUAUGGUGUAGCGGUGAAAUGCUUAGAGAUCAUACAGAACACCGAUUGCGAAGGCAGCUUACCAAACUAUAUCUGACGUUGAGGCACGAAAGCGUGGGGAGCAAACAGGAUUAGAUACCCUGGUAGUCCACGCAGUAAACGAUGAUAACUCGUUGUCGGCGAUACACAGUCGGUGACUAAGCGAAAGCGAUAAGUUAUCCACCUGGGGAGUACGUUCGCAAGAAUGAAACUCAAAGGAAUUGACGGGGGCCCGCACAAGCGGAGGAACAUGUG